rnacentral:rRNA from 1 species
UACGUAGGGGGCGAGCGUUGUCUGGAUUCAUUGGGCGUAAAGCGCGCGUAGGCGGCUUCGCAAGUCGGCCGUGAAAUCUCCGGGCUCAACUCGGAGGGGUCGGGCGAGACUGCGCGGCUCGAGGUGGGCAGAGGGCAGUGGAAUUCCGGGUGUAGUGGUGGAAUGCGUAGAGAUCCGGAGGAACACCAGUGGCGAAGGCGGCUGCCUGGGCCUGGCCUGACGCUGAGGCGCGAAAGCGUGGGGAGCAAUCCGG